AGAAUCAACGCUGGCGGCGUGCCUCAGACAUGCAAGUCGUACGAUUAAAGCUCUCUUCGGAGAGUGCAUAAAGUGGCGUACGGGUGAGUAACACGUAAGUAAUCUACCUUUGAGUGGGGAAUAACAGUCGGAAACGACUGCUAAUACCGCAUAAUGCAGCGGCUCGACAUCGAGACAGUUGUUAAAGAAUUUAUUCGCUUAAAGAGGAGCUUGCGGCAGAUUAGCUAGUUGGUAAGGUAAUGGCUUACCAAGGCUACGAUCC
rnacentral:rRNA from 1 species